rnacentral:lncRNA from 1 species
AGUCGUCACUCCAUGACCUAAACAUACCAGUAUCAGCUGAUGGUGAGAUCACAUUGCCUCCAACAUUAAGCCGGUAAACAUUCUCAAGGGCAGUAGAAUUGUCAAUAAUGAAAGCAGCAGUCUGACCCACGAUGGAGGUAGUCCCAUCCUCAGUAUUAUAGAUGUCACGAUGUGAAAUAAUCUGACGAUGAAGGUAGUCCCAUCCUCAGUAUUAUAGAUGUCACGAUGUGAAAUAAUCUCAAUCCCAUUGACAAACGCAAAGGAGUUUGAAGUAUUUGGAGAGGGUGUGAAAGUCAUGUUCAAAGUUUCAGAUGGCACAUUGAUUGAAAAUUCCUUUGUCAAGUAAUCGUAGUUGAGAGCUUCAGCAGUUUGUGCUGCACUGAAGUUUCUAAGGAGGGAAUAUGGUCCAACAGUCACACUGAAAAUGGCAUUGGUGGCAUUAAGCUUGUUGUAAGACGAGGGAUAAAAAUACAGACGGACAAACUUACGACCAGGUGCUACAGGGAAACUAUAGGUGAAUUCAGACUGGAAAACACGGGCAGACAUAAAAGGGACUUGAGGGACAGAGGGCUUUUGAUCAGCAGCAUCAGAGGUUGAUGACUUGCUACCUUUCAAAUAUGUUGACCCAAUAUCCGAACCCCAUUUUCGACCAUCGGCAUCUUUAAGACCGUCAGGACCUCCACAGUUCAACAGAAUAUCAUCACCAGGUGCAGAAUUUUGAGCCAAUGUCACUUUAACGACAACAGCCAACCACAGGAAAGUGAAAGCCAAGAGAAAACAGAAUUUACUGCCUUCUGUCAUUGAUGCUAUACGUGCCAAUACUAAAAGUCACUGGAAAACAAAAAAGAAUUGCAAAGAAAAGAUCAAUAUCUUACUGUUUACCUCCACGCAAAUUUAAUCACAUAAGAUCAAGAACAAUGAAAAAUCAUAGGAAAGCUGGAUUUUUUAAGUCCUAAUAAGCAAUCAAUCAGGGGUUAGACCAUUCUGCAGCUAAAAUACCAGUUGAAAUGAGCUCACUUUUCAAAUAAAUCUACAGGACAAACAAGCGCUAAGUCCAAAAUAAAGGAACCCCAGUAUCAAGAUCCACACUAUAAGAAGCAGCCAAUAGCAUAAAGCGCAUAGAUAAAAUUUUAAAAGCUAAAAGAAAGUAGUAAGUCCAAACUAAAGAAUCCCUAGUAUCAUCAAUACUCAAUACAAGAAGCAGCUAAUAGCAUAAAAAUGGAUAUAUAACUAAAUUUUGGAGCUAAGUAAAAAGCAUCCAGUCCAAAACAAAGAAACCCCGUUACCCUAAUAUCAAGAUCCACUAAAAGAAACAGCUAAAAGCAUGAACAUGGACUUGCAACAAAAUAUUGGGAGCUAAAUAAUUGCAUAAGCAAAAGGAUAAUUUACCUAAAGAAUCAGCAAGAAACUGAGAGAUCCAAAAAAAGCAAACUUUAAGCCAUUCUUGGGUUGACUAAACCCACAAGAACUGAAUUCUAAGCUGCAGUCAGCUGAAGAAGAAGCUCAGGCUCAGAUCAAAGAAGAGAGAGAAUAGGGUUUGAGUUUUAGAGAGAUGGCAAGCUAGAGAGAGAAACAAAGAGAGAAGUAAAAUUGAAGGAAGUUGGUAGUUUAAUAAGUUGCUUUUGAGUUUGAUAUUAAAACUCUGCUUACUUUGGUAAUCCAGAUUAUGAAAAUAGAAAUACCAAGUCCUAACUACUUAUAAAUUGACAGAAAUACCCUUAACAGUGCGUUGAAAU